rnacentral:misc_RNA from 1 species
UUUCCGUAGGUGAACCUGCGGAAGGAUCAUUAUUGUAUAACCGAGAUGCGAGGGCUGUCGCUGUCCCGAAAGGUCGUGCACGCCCGAGUGCCCUCACACACAUCCAUCUCACCCCUAUGUGCACCACCGCGUGGGUCCCCCUUUGGCUUGUUCGGAGGGGGGCUUACGUUUUCACACAAACUUUGUAUGCAGUGUAGAAUGUAUUUUUUGUUUUUGCGAUCACGCAGUCAAUACAACUUUCAACAACGGAUCUCUUGGCUCUC